GCCUGUGAUGUUUUGUGUUUGAGAAAUAAGAAAAUGCCUUCAACUACUCCAUUUGCCUGCACUCUCUCCUCCGAUGCAUUCUGUGGUCUUGUCAGAAGUGUCUUCCUAAAAAAACAGGCAGCAUAUGAUUCUGCUCUGCCACAAAAUCCUCAGCGUGGACGGCAGGAGGAAGGUCAUUCAAAUCCAGGUCCUUCCAGAGUUAACUGUCACGCAUAAAAAUUAACAACGGACUAAGCGGCCAAAAAGCAUAUAAAACACGUAAGGCAAUUAAACUAAGUUGACUAUACUACAUUUAUAUGAAAUGAUACCAAGGCA
rnacentral:lncRNA from 1 species